rnacentral:rRNA from 1 species
AUGUGGAGCGUACACAGGUGCUGCAUGGCUGUCGUCAGCUCGUGUCGUGAGAUGUUGGGUUAAGUCCCGCAACGAGCGCAACCCUGCAUUCAGUUGCCAACGGUAAGGCCGGGCACUCUGGAUGGACUGCCGGCGACAAGCCGGAGGAAGGUGGGAUGACGUCAAGUCAUCAUGGCCCUUAUGUCCAGGGCGACACACGUGCUACAAUGGCCGGCACAGCGGGAAGCGAGGGGGCGACCUUGAGCGGAUCCCUCAAAGCCGGUCUCAGUUCGGAUUGCAGUCUGCAACUCGACUGCAUGAAGUUGGAAUCGCUAGUAAUCGUGGAUCAGCCAAGCCGCGGUGAAUACGUUCCCGGGCCUU